UCCUUCGGGAGGAAGAAACAUGUGAUUGAGCGGCGGACGGGUGAGUAACGCGUGGGUAACCUGCCUCAUACAGGGGGAUAACAGCUAGAAAUGGCUGCUAAUACCGCAUAAGCGCACAGUGCCACAUGGUACAGUGUGAAAAACUCCGGUGGUAUGAGAUGGACCCGCGUCUGAUUAGGUAGUUGGUAGGGUAACGGCCUACCAAGCCGACGAUCAGUAGCCGACCUGAGAGGGUGACCGGCCACAUUGGGACUGAGACACGGCCCAAACUCCUACGGGAGGCAGCAGUGGGGAAUAUUGCACAAUGGGCGAAAGCCUGAUGCAGCGACGCCGCGUGAGUGAAGAAGUAUUUCGGUACGUAAAGCUCUAUCAGCAGGGAAGAAAAUGACGGUACCUGACUAAGAAGCCCCGGCUAACUACGUGCCAGCAGCCGCGGUAAUACGUAGGGGGCAAGCGUUAUCCGGAUUUACUGGGUGUAAAGGGAGCGUAGACGGCAAGACAAGUCUGAUGUGAAAGCCCGGGGCUCAACCCCGGGACUGCAUUGGAAACUGCCUGGCUAGAGUGCA
rnacentral:rRNA from 1 species